rnacentral:lncRNA from 1 species
CCUUGCCGGGUUAUUUCCAAGAGUAAGCUUGCAGAAGGCACUAGGAUUUCCAACUGAUUGCCUUAGAUUGUUGCCACGUUUUAUUGUAACAGUAAGAGUCCCAGGCAAGCAUUGAAGAAGCAGUUCAGCCUUUUCUUGAAACCGUGGUGGGCCAGACUGUAUCAAGUACUGAAGUAGAGGGAUAGCUUCUGAUGCGGCGACUGAUUGUGCUUUAAAUACUUCAGCUGGGCAAGCUGACCAAGCUUGCCUGAGAAGAUAUAGUGAAUCUAGUGCUGCUUCUUGAGUUGCCUCAGAACCAGUUUUAAGGGAUGUUACAAGAUGAGGAAUGCACAAUGUGGCAGGUUCAGUGACCCUCAGACGAGGGAAGUUACUAAGCAAAGCAUUAAGUGCUUUGAGAUACUCUUCAUUAGCACUUCCAG